GGGUGUGAAGGCAGCUGAACUGCAACAUCUGUCACCCAUUGAUCGCCAGGGUUAAUUCGGCUGAUCUGGCUGGAUAAUUGGGUGUCCCCUUCCUCCCUCACUGCUUCAUGUACAUCCCUCCUGAAGUCAUGUGCUUGGUUGAAGCACAUGAGAAGGAGGAGGAGGAGGACCAUUCUUCAGUCAAGGGUAUACAAGUAGCAGCAUUCCCCUGCU
rnacentral:lncRNA from 1 species